AAUAGAACCCCUAGCCGAGACCAUUCUCAAAAAAUGUGAUGGUCUACCGCUGACAAUCAUAUUUUCACCUUAAGUUACACUGUAGGCGAAGCUAUAGUAGAUCAGCUUGGUAAUCUCAAUGCCGCAUGUAACAGGGGUUAUGCUUUGCUCGAAUGACUUAUGAUAGAAAGUGGUGUCGACGAAAAACCAGUGACAAUGCACAACAUGAUGCGAGAAUUGGCAUUAUAGAUCACUUCUGCUAGUUCAAUUCAUGACCCUAACUUCAUAGUAAAGUCGGGUGUCGGAUUGAAAAAGGCACCUGAAGCUGCCGACUGGCAAGGAGCUGAGAGAAUCUCAUUGAUGGGAAACAAUCUCGAAGAACUCCCUCAGUUGCCAGAGAUAAUGAAUCCUUACAAACCAUGCCUCAACUUCAUUUCUUUGAAUGUAUGCAUGCUCUUCGUGAGCUCGAUCUCUCUAGGAUUGGGAUCGAAUCCCUUCCUCGUUCCCUAUCAAACUUAGUGAACCUCCGCAUUCUUCGUCUAAAAAGUUGCCAUGAACUUGAAGGGCUACCACCAGAAAUUGGAGAGCUUCAACAACUCCAACUUUUGGAUGUUCAAGGGUGCAUUCAAAGGAAGGAGCUAGUUUGAGAUUGGGGGAGCGGCAUUGGUUCCCUUAGCAGAACCGCAAAACUUAGUCUCUGUUUUUCUACAAAUAUAGCGGUUUGACAUGGCUUCCCCCUCUCAACAUCUCCGAGCAGCUUGAUAUCAACCAAUGUGACGACCUGGGCAGUCUGGUGCACUAUGAGGAUGCCAAGGAUAUAAAUGCAUUCAAGACAUUGGUGGUGCUGAAUCUUGCUUUGCUGCCUAGCUUUGAAAGGAUAUGUGCAGGCAGCCCUCCUCAUGGAUGCUUUGGAGGACUAAAGGAAAUAAAGUAUUUCAAUGUCCAAACCAAAAUUGGUAGUUCUCUUCCCCAGUUGUAUUCUGCAACAACUCAAAAAUCGCACUCUCAGGUUUUGCGACGAAAUAAAGGAAUUAAUUGAAGAUGAGGAGGUGGAUGAGGAUGUCUUGCCAAGCUGACCAGCAUAUAUGGUGACUGUGAGUUGAAUUGCCCAUUGGACGUGUUUCGUUGUUUGAGGUUAAAGAAGAUCCCUCUUCGCCCCGAGAGUGUAGACCGAUUACAGUUAAAAGGAGAUAGGAAAUGGUGGGAAAGCCAAAACAUCCGGUUCUGUAUUGAACUGCACUUCAAGGAUCUUUGAUGAUGGAUAAGAGUGGGACAACUACUGUUUCACUGCACUUACUCAUUUUCCUAUCUCCUUGUACCGGAGGGACAUCGGGCUAGGAAGAGGAUACACCUCGACAAACUCUAUCGUCAAUCUUUGGAGAAGGUAUAUCAACCUGGUUCACAAGAACCAUAACCCCGGACUCAUGCUUUCAAUUCACUCAGUAGCAUACUCCUGAUAAGAAUUACAGUGAUCACGAUGACUUGGGGCCAUCUCAUCAUUUUAGUUGAUUUUGUAUGUUUCAACUUAUUUUACUUGUAUUAUUGAUAUUUAAUUGAUUCUAUGGUUAUCAAUAAUGUAUAUUUGAUUAAUUC